AGCCUUCGAGAGAGUAUACAGUUCGUAUAAACUAUUACAAAGCUUGAACGAAGAUCCUAGAGCUUAUGCUUUACAAACCGACUACAAGGGAUUCCAUAAAAAACUAUGGCUACUUAACCUACCUUCAAAAAUAAAAAUUACAGUCUGGAAAGUAUCAUGGAACUAUCUUCCUUUACGGGCCAACAUGCAACAAAGAAGGUUAACAAACAUUACAAUUUGCCCGAGGUGUGAAAGUGGAACAGAGACUAUGAAUCACUUAUUCCGGGAAUGUCUGACUUCAGUAUUAGUAUGGGGAGAAUUAGCAUGUCAGACAUUUCUAUCUGAAUAUCAUUUGGAGUUCCCACAGUGGCUAGUCUGGGUUUUUGAGUAGAGUAACUCAGUCCAGUGUAGGAUUUUCUGCUGCAUUUUAUGGGCAAUCUGGGGAGACAAAAACGUGAGAGUGCAUAAGAAGGUUAGUAAAUCUGGAAAGGAAAUAGUGAGUUUUGUCCACAGUUAUAUUCUAGAAUUAAAUGAGAUUGAAACGAGAAGGCCAAAAGUUUUUCCAAUUGUCAGUAAAUGGAAGCACCCACCUGAUCAGUUUGUGAAGAUCAACUUUGAUGCUGCAUAUGACGAAAGAUCUUCUCAUUCGGCACUAGGAAUUGUGGCCAGAAACUGUGAAGUAAAGGUUCUCCUUGCAUGCUCGGAAAUCCACAAACAAGUUGCUUCAGCCUUUACUGCUGAGGCAAUCGCGUGUCGAAGAGCAACACAACUUGGCAUUGACAUGAAAUGGAAAAACAUUAUCAUCGAAGGUGACGCAUUAUCAAUAAUCAAAAAGUGUAAAACAAACAGUCAGGACAAGUCACUAAUAGGGGCAUAUAUACAUGAUAUUCAACAGAUCUUGCUUAAAUCUAGAAAAUGCAGAUUCGAAUAUACUCCACGAACAGCAAAUUGUCUAGCACACUCUAUUGCAAUCGAAACGAUGA
rnacentral:lncRNA from 1 species